ACGACCAACACCCUUGAUUUGGGUCAUGGCGAACAUGACCUUGACCUUGCCAUCAACGUUGGUGUUGAGGAGACGGAGAAUGUGUUGGAACUAUUUAAGAAUUAGUAAAUGUGACAUUAAUUUACCAUGUUGCUAGCCUUUAAACUUACAUUGUCGGGAACAACCAGAGACAUGUUGAGAUACUGGCUAAUGCGCUGUGGACAAAGUUUUAGCUGCUCCUACGGUUUGUGUUGACUUUGUGACUGCUCUUUGGCUAGUUUGUUGAAUUGCGAGUAUUUGUGUAUGUUGGCCGGCUAAAUCACUUUAAGAAGAUGUAGUAUUAGUACCUUCAAACACACUAUUUCGGCAUAUGUAGUUACUAUUUGUUUACAAGCAUAAUAAACAAAUGCAUUAAAAUAAUACUCACUCAACAAAUACACCGGACGAAAACUGUUUCUUAAAAAUCGUCCAAAAGUUAGGGACCGAAAAUUUUAGUUCUGACUAUGUGUCGAGGUCCGGUGGUUAAUUUAUGAAUACAUAGCUUUAAACUACAAUCUGCAUCGAUGAAUAACAAGUUCUAAAAGUCAUGACAAAUUCAAAGUUAGCCAUAUGCCCAUAGAUGCACUUACGCAAAGUAACUCGCUACUCUAGUUUAUACUUCUUUAAAAGCAAAAUUGACGAUAAUGUAAUGACCUCCUUUGUGAUCCUGGUUAAUAAGUAAAUUGGAGCACCCAAAUUACAAUCUUUUCAAUAACAAAGCAUACAAAAUUGUUUGUAUUAAGGAUUUUAUGUAUCGUUUAAAGGAAUCGCUUAACUUAUUACCCUCGUCCGCUAAGCCCUCUCUACAUAAAGAUCAACUAACUAGUCAUAUCGUGGAAAAAGAGAUCGCUUGAAAAGCGAUAAAGUUGCUUUGUACUAC